CACUAGGGCUAAAACUAAAAUCACAUGCAUUCUAGAUUCUUAAUCCAGACAGAACCAUGCUAUUCUUUGUGUUUAACAGAGCAUAUGGUUGACAUUUAAUAAAUGUUAGAUAGUAAAAAUAGAAGCAGUGCUUCAAAGUAACAGUAUCUGAAAGAUCUCCUUAAGCACAAAGUAAGGUAAACAAGCUGCCAUCACACAUCUGGAUUCGAGCCCAUCAGCACCUUCCCUCAGCUGUUACAAAAGACAAAGACCAGUUGGUAUCCCACUGGACAUGCUGGACAGCAUUUUCCACCCAACGCCAGGGUGAGAGAAAGAAAAGGCAGGCUCUUUUGUUCAGGCCCUCUUCCCUAAUUAUACCUUGGAUCUAAAUAAAGAAAAUACAGCACACAUGAUCAGAAAUAACUGAGGAGUAAAUGAGAAGCAACAGAGUGGAGGGUUUAAUCACAUUAUCAGUAGCAGGGUCAGAAGGAAAUGGACAGAUGGGAGCGUCAAAUUAUCUACAAUGGCAUGAAACGCUGAAAGAGAUUCAAAACCAGAGGAGAUGAGUCAAGAAAUUAAGCUUGGUUUCCAUGUUAAUUCAAAACUGUUUGUUUGGGGGGCUGAAGGAAGGAAGAAGCAAUGAUAACUCCAGCAGGGAAACUGCUCAUUAAUAUCCUAGCAAAACAAUAACCUCAGAUAAUAGGAAAUAUUAUGAUGUCUCCAGAGAACAGAGAGAAAUUCAGAUUUACUCUCCCAUCCAUGGAAUUCAGUUUAAUGGAGUAUAUUCAACAGAGCUGAAUAAAUAUCAAUAGGAAGGUUAAAACAUUGAUUAGCAGCAAUACGUCACACUCCUGACAUCUGGAAACAAACAAACCAGUUAAAAAAGCAGGUGGUGAGAUUUAGGUUGUUCUAUUCCUCUGCAAGUAACACUGGGGAUUUGCUGUUCCAGUGGCCCAGAGAGGGGUGGGGAGGAUGAGGGUAGGGAUGAGGAGUAGGAAGCAGAGGGAAUCAGAGGUGAGAAGAAUGUUCUUUUGGUGCAAAGCGAUUGAAAGCUGCUACUAUUGGGUUUAUUAUAGUGUUUUAUGAAGCAAUGCAAGAGAUUACCCAAACAUCUUCAGCUAACACCAGGACUGCAGUAGACACGUAAUACAACUAAUGCCUUGUAAAAGGUUACCAAAUCUUCCAGAUGAUGGAACCUGCAUAAACUCUCUCCUGUCUAGGAUUUUGAUGCCACAGCACUUCAUAGUACUUGUCUGACCUUGGCCAAAACAGAAAUAAGAAGGCUGGGGUUAGAUAAAGAAUCUAGGAAACAGGAGUUCCUAUCGUGGCUCAGCAAUUAACGAAUGUGUCUAGGAUCCAUGAGGAUAUGGGUUCAAUCCCUGGCCUUGCUCAUUGGGUUAAGGAUCCGGUGUUGCCAAGAGCUGUGGUAUAGGUCACAGACUCAGCUCAGAUCUGGCGUUGCUGUGGCUCUGGUGUAGGCUGGCAGCUACAGCUCCAAUUUGACUCCUAGGCCUAGGAACCUCCAUAUGCCACGGUGUGGCCCUAAAAAAAAAAAAAAAAAAAAAAAAAAAAAAAAUCUAGGAAACAACUCCACACUUUCACACUUUACCAACUAUCUUCCUGUAUAUCUUUCUGUAUCUUUUAUAUGCCAAAAAAUGUAGGGAUAUUAGGAAGGUUUGGGUCAGCUGCCUUAUGCUAAGACAGCUCUCAACUCUCUUAGUGCUAUUGGAUCUUUGGGGGAGAAUUAAAUACAAGCUCUUCUGAAAUCUUGCUAGUCACCCGUGCAGCAGUUGAGAUCCAAAAGCACCUCAGAUCUCUGGCCGCAUUGUGCCUCAGGAAGGGAAAAACAAAACUUCCAGCAAAUCAACCUCAUCGACAGUAAAAGCAUCAGCAGGUCCUAGCAAGAUCUUAAAUUACAAAACCACCAACAAACCCUUCAUUUUCACAGCUUACUCCCACGUCAUUGUCCUGUGUUCUUGAACUUUGGGGGCUACUGGACAACCCAAUCAUCAAGUGCAGUAAUUGAGCUCUUCCUAAGUAUUCUGAGCUGUAGUAAAGAGCAGGGGAAAAAUAACAACAACCAAAAAAACUGUUAUCAGUUGAGUGCUGACUCUGCAGAGGGCACCAAACAUUUUACAUGCAUUGUUUCAUUUUCAUUAUUUGCGAUCCUGUGAGUUAGGUAAUGUUAUUUUCCCCAUUUUGCAGAUGAUGAAAUUGAGCCUUAGUGACGUUAACUAACUUGCCCAAUGUCACACAGGUUAGUAAGUGGCAGAGCCAGGACUUCCGGUGUCCAAAGUCCAUGUUCCUUAUCCCCUAUGCCACAUCUACCUGUUAGAAGUCCGAAAAUAUGGAAUGAGUUACUGUGUGAAAGAGUAAGCUCUGUCACAGGAGAUGUCUGAACAUCUCCAGCAUGAUUCCCGGGCCAGGGAUCUAACCAGCACCAAAGCAGGGACAAUGUCAGAUCCUGAACCCGAUGAGCCACCAGGGAAGUCCUCUUCCAUUUUUUAAAAAAGAUCUAAUUCACAUGCCACAAAACACGCCCUUUUAAAGGGUGCAAUUCAAUGGUUUUUAGUGUAUUUGCAAGGCUGUGUAACUAUCACCAUUUCAUUCCAGAACAUUUUUAUCACCACAAUUAGUUUCAGAAUAUUUUAAUCACUCCAUACCCUAAGCAUUGUUCUCUCUCUUCAGCUUUGGCAACCAGUAAUCUGCUUUCAGUCUCUAUGGAUUUACCUAUUCUAGGCCCUUCAUAAAAAUGAAUCAUGCGAUAUGAGGUUCUUUGUAACCGGUUUCUUCACUCAGCAUCAUGUUUUCAAGGUCCAUCGUGCUGUGGCUUGUAUCAGUACUUCAUUUCAUUUGAUGGCUAAAGAACAUUCCAUUGGACGAUACCCACAUUUUGUUUACCCAUUCAUCAGGAGAUGGGCUCUCAAGUACUUAUGAACACAUGGCUCCUGUCUUUAAUCCAGCUGGGACAAUUCACAUUGUAUGACUCAAUUCAGCUGUUUGCAGCUUCUUAUGGACAUCCUCAAGUUGAUAAUACUGCUGCCUAGAACUCAACCACACGGCCAAGCAAAACUGAUUUUUC
rnacentral:lncRNA from 1 species